rnacentral:rRNA from 1 species
AUACGGAGGAUGCAAGCGUUAUCCGGAUUUAUUGGGUUUAAAGGGUGCGUAGGCGGGACUGUAAGUCAGGGGUGAAAUACUGCAGCUUAACUGUAGCAUUGCCUUUGAAACUGCCGUUCUUGAGUACAGUUGAGGUAGGCGGAAUGUGGUGUGUAGCGGUGAAAUGCAUAGAUAUACCACAGAACGCCGAUUGCGAAGGCAGCUUACUAAGCUGUCACUGACGCUGAGGCACGAAAGCGUGGGGAUCAAACAGGAUUAGAUACCCUGGUAGUCCACGCUGUAAACGAUGAUUACUGGUUGUUAGCGAUAUAUAGCUAGUGACUGAGCGAAAGCAUUAAGUAAUCCACCUGGGGAGUACGUCGGCAACGAUGAAACUCAAAUGAAUUGGCGGGG